rnacentral:lncRNA from 1 species
CCCACCCAAACGGUAUGUCCGCUUGCCAGCCACUCUCUUCGCCUGAUGUUGAUGCCCAUCAUCGAUCAUUUCUGCUUCAGAUUCCACGCAAAGUUCUUGUGGCCAAAAAGGUGAGCUUACUGUUGACCACCCACAGAUUGCGCGAAAACAAAGAAAGAGACGGAGGAUUAUUUUGGAGAAGCACACGGAUUUGAGGAGGG